rnacentral:rRNA from 1 species
GACGUAGGGCGCAAGCGUUGUCCGGAUUUAUUGGGCGUAAAGAGCUCGUAGGCGGCUUGUUGCAUCGGCUGUGAAAACCCGUGGCUUAACUGCGGGCUUGCAGCCGAUACGGGCGGGCUGGAGUUCGGUAGGGGAGACUGGAAUUCCUGGUGUAGCGGUGAAAUGCGCAGAUAUCAGGAGGAACACCGGUGGCGAAGGCGGGUCUCUGGGCCGAUACUGACGCUGAGGAGCGAAAGCGUGGGGAGCGAACAGG